GAAAUCAACUAUAAUAAACUUAACCGAUAAAAAUUAUAUAGUGUGGUCAUUCUAAAGAUAUAUUAAUGAAGAAUGAUGAAUAAAAUGAGUAAUUUUUAUUUUAAUGCAUACAACUUCUAUAAUUUUAAAACUCUGUUAUCGUGCCGUAUGGUAAUUUCUGAUUUUGUCAUAUUAGCAAUGUGUAACCCACCUUUUUUACAUUUUAAAAAUUGCUGUUCCAGUUUCAUGACAACCUUAAGUUGGAUUUGAGCUGAUCAAUAGUUUAGCAAAAUUUUGAUCAAAGAUCCUCAUUCUGCUCAAUUUCCAUUCAAGCACCAACAAAAGAAGGUUCCACUUCUAUUACCAAAAGCUGCAAACACCUGCCAUCAACUAACUUGCGCAAUUAUAUUGCGAAAUCACCUGUCUGUCCCCCUUCUCUAGGUGAGUCAUGUAGUUGCAGAAGACUGCUCCGAGACAAAGCAUUUCUUUAUCUUCUCCUUUGUUAAUUCACAAUCAAAUUUGGACAAAUUACAUGUUUGUUGGGUCUUGCUACUCUAAAUUUGACUGAAAGCAUCUUUUGACAGGUAUGUGCUCAACUUCAUUUUACUUUUA